GUUCUUGUAUUAGACUUCUGCCAUGGUUUCCAUAGCCCCAGCUCCUGGCUCACCACUCUCCACCUCCUGUGAUACUGUGCUGAGGCUGCACUAUUGUCUGUACAACC